rnacentral:rRNA from 1 species
GUGGGGAAUAUUGGACAAUGGGGGGAACCCUGAUCCAGCCAUGCCGCGUGUGUGAAGAAGGCCUUUUGGUUGUAAAGCACUUUAAGCGAGGAGGAGGCUACCGAGAUUAAUACUCUUGGAUAGUGGACGUUACUCGCAGAAUAAGCACCGGCUAACUCUGUGCCAGCAGCCGCGGUAAUACAGAGGGUGCAAGCGUUAAUCGGAUUUACUGGGCGUAAAGCGCGCGUAGGUGGCCAAUUAAGUCAAAUGUGAAAUCCCCGAGCUUAACUUGGGAGUUGCAUUCGAUACUGGUUGGCUAGAGUAUGGGAGAGGAUGGUAGAAUUCCAGGUGUAGCGGUGAAAUGCGUAGAGAUCUGGAGGAAUACCGAUGGCGAAGGCAGCCAUCUGGCCUAAUACUGACACUGAGGUGCGAAAGCAUGGGGAGCAAACAGGAUUAGAAACCCUGGUAGUCC